ensembl:lncRNA
UCCCACGGCAUCUGCUUUGGCAGGCGGGACUCGACCUCCUGUGAUUGUCCUCCCUUUCCUCCUGCUGCCCUUCUCCUCCCAGGCCCACCUCCUCCAACCCUGCAAGCAACCCAGUGAGAGGUGUUCCCAUCCGCCGGGAGGACACUGAGACUCAGAGACCAAAGGAUGUACCCAAAGUUAACAGCAGAGCCAGCUCCGGCUGUGUUACUCAGUCGCCGAGGAAACAUGGAGGCCUUUUGGGGCUGGAAGCAGCCUGCAGUCUGAGGAGCCACCUCCCGGCAGACGGCUUGGCCAGAGCUGCCUCUCCCUGGGUGCUGGCCGCCAGCAUGGGCCCCCAGCACCCUCAGCGCCCCAGACCUGUUCUCAAGGCAGUCCGGACCUCCUGCCUGGAGCUGCGGUUUCUGAACCACUGCCCAUGGUUCCGGAUUUCACAAGCUGGCUCCUCCUUGCAGGGAAAACCCAGGCCUCCCUGGAAG